GAUGAACGCUGGCGGCGUGCCUAAUACAUGCAAGUCGAGCGAACGGACGAGAAGCUUGCUUCUCUGAUGUUAGCGGCGGACGUGUGAGUAACACGUGGAUAACCUACCUAUAAGACUGGGAUAACUUCGGGAAACCGGCGCUAAUACCGGAUAAUAUUUUGAACCGCAUGGUUCAAAAGUGAAAGACGGUCUUGCUGUCACUUAUAGAUGGAUCCGCGCUGCAUUAGCUAGUUGGUAAGGUAACGGCUUACCAAGGCAACGAUGCAUAGCCGACCUGAGAGGGUGAUCGGCCACACUGGAACUGAGACACGGUCCAGACUCCUACGGGAGGCAGCAGUAGGGAAUCUUCCGCAAUGGGCGAAAGCCUGACGGAGCAACGCCGAGUGAGUGAUGAAGGUCUUCGGAUCGUAAAACUCUGUUAUUAGGGAAGAACAUAUGUGUAAGUAACUGUGCACAUCUUGACGGUACCUAAUCAGAAAGCAACGGCUAACUACGUG
rnacentral:rRNA from 1 species